CACGUAGGCGGCCUGGCAAGUCUGAUGUGAAAGCCCGGGGCUCAACCCCGGAAGUGCAUUGGAAACUGCUAGGCUUGAGUUCGGAAGAGGAGGGCAGAAUUCCCGGUGUAGGGGUGAAAUCCGUAGAUAUCGGGAGGAAAACCAGUGGCGAAGGCGGCCCUCUGGGACGAAACUGACGCUAAGGUGCGAAAGCGUGGGGAGCAAACA
rnacentral:rRNA from 1 species